CAGUCUCCUACGGGUGGCUGCAGUGGGGAAUUUUGGACAAUGGGGGCAACCCUGAUCCAGCCAUGCCGCGUGCGGGAAGAAGGCCUUCGGGUUGUAAACCGCUUUUGUCAGGGAAGAAAAGGCGCCGGCUAAUACCCGGGGUUAAUGACGGUACCUGAAGAAUAAGCACCGGCUAACUACGUGCCAGCAGCCGCGGUAAUACGUAGGGUGCAAGCGUUAAUCGGAAUUACUGGGCGUAAAGCGUGCGCAGGCGGUUAUGUAAGACAGAUGUGAAAUCCCCGGGCUCAACCUGGGAACUGCAUUUGUGACUGCAUAGCUAGAGUGCGGCAGAGGGGGAUGGAAUUCCGCGUGUAGCAGUGAAAUGCGUAGAUAUGCGGAGGAACACCGAUGGCGAAGGCAAUCCCCUGGGCCUGCACUGACGCUCAUGCACGAAAGCGUGGGGAGCAAACAGGAUUAGAUACCCUAGUAGUCC
rnacentral:rRNA from 1 species